GUUUAAAUAUGGUAAGUGUACAUGGGUUUGCUACUUUUACGGUUUUAAAGUUUAACUGUAUACUGAUGGUGUUUAAAUUCUGUUUUGCUAGGAUGGGACAGUGAUGUGGCAGCUCUUCCCUGGCUCAUUCAUCUCUUGCCUUCAUUUGUGAAAGGAAGAAAGAAUGGAGAGGUUCAAUGUGCAACUGAAGCUACUGAUUGUGCUGUGUGAUGAGCAUCAAUCCAUGCUUUGAGGUGGAUGGAUCAGCACAGCCCUGCCUGCUCUGCGUUGGGAACAGAAGUUGCAUCCAGAAUUUUUGCAUCAUUCUGGACCAAAAAGCCAUUCCCUGCAUGAUGAAGACCACUGAUGCAGCCUCCCACUACAUCAUGAGUAAAACAACUACAGAACUAAAUACCAGGUUGGAACGUAUUUAAGAAAAAUGAAAAGUCUUUGGAAUUGAAAUGUCUGUUUUGUUAUGGAAAAAUCUUUAGUAUUGUGAAGGAUAAGCAUUUCUGCCUGCCAGUAAGUGUAUUUGCAGUGUAUUUGAAUGUUCAAGUUUUGAGUAGGGUGGCUUAUUUUUUUUAACUCUCAUUUGAUUUAUUAAAGACCUUUUAUAAUAAGUGGUUUUCAUGUCACUGCGCUGUGGUAUAAGAUAACUUUCAUUAUUCCAUACUGUAUUCUGUUUCUAAUUGUAGCUGAGGUAUUUAAAUAAGCAGUGUUAAAUGCAAAGUGUUGUGUGUAUCAAUGUAAAUAUUAAAUGUGAUGUACUUUAAUAAAAAGAGGUUUUGCAAUA